GAAUAGUGCUGACUUCUUGUACAAAUAGUGUUCCUCCUAAACACAAAACUCUUUAUAAUCUGUCUGUUUGGCCCCUUUUGCUGUUUGUGUACUUAGAUAAAUAUUAUUUCUUUUUGGUUAUACAAUGUACUUGGAUAAAUGAUGGCAGAUUUUUUAAACAGCUUUUUACAGAUGAGAAUGUUUUUUGUAAGUGGUGAAUAACUCAUUAUAAUAAGAUUUGUAUUUCAGUCAAAUAUGUGUAUUUGCAUUAUGAAAAUGUUCAUAAAGAUAUCAAAAAUGAAAAGCAUACAUUAUAUAGUGUAUCAAAGAGUAGUGUUUGCCCAGGAUUUUGCUGUUUUGUACACUGAGUGUGUAACUUUAUGGAGCUUCUGAGUCAGUGUUGACAAUGGUGAAUACCUGAAGUUGUUCAGUCCAGUAAUAAAAUGGCUUAACAUG
rnacentral:misc_RNA from 1 species